GAUGAACGCUGGCGGCGUGCCUAAUACAUGCAAGUCGAGCGAACAGACGGGGAGCUUGCUCCUCUGCCGUUAGCGGCGGACGGGUGAGUAACACGUGGAUACCCUACCUAUAAGACUGAGAUAACUUAGGGAAACCGGAGCUAAUACCGGAUAACAUGUUGAACCGCGUGGUUCAACAGUGAAAGACGGUUUUGCUGUCACUUAUAGAUGGAUCCGAGUCGCAUUAGCUAGUUGGUAAGGUAACGGCCUACCAAGGCAACGAUGCGUAGCCGACCUGAGAGGGUGAUCGGCCACACUGGAACUGAGACACGGUCCAGACUCCUACGGGAGGCAGCAGUAGGGAAUCUUCCGCAAUGGGCGAAAGCCUGACCCAGCAAUGCCGCGUGAGUGAAGAAGGUCUUCGGAUCGUAAAGCUCUGUUAGUAGGGAAGAACAACUGUGUAAGUAACCCUGCCUGUCUUGACGGUACCUACUCAGAAAGCCCCGGCUAACUACGUG
rnacentral:rRNA from 1 species